UGCGAGUCGAGAGGUGCUAGACCUCGGCGUACUGCUCAGUAACACGUGGAUAACCUACCCUGUGGAGGGGGAUAACCCCGGGAAACUGGGGAUAAUACCCCAUAGGUUAGGGUGGCUGGAAUGCCCCCUAGCUCAAAGGUCCGCCGCCACAGGAUGGGUCUGCGCCCGAUUAGGUUGUUGUUGGGGUAACGGCCCAACAAGCCUUUGAUCGGUACGGGUUGUGGGAGCAAGUGCCCGGAGAUGGAUUCUGAGACACGAAUCCAGGCCCUACGGGGCGCAGCAGGCGCGAAAACUUUACAAUGCGAGAAAUCGUGAUAAGGGAACCCCGAGUGCCCGUAAAUUCGGGCUGUCCGCCAGUGCAAAAAACUGGCGAAGAAAGAGCCGGGCAAGACCGGUGCCAGCCGCCGCGGUAACACCGGCGGCUCGAGUGGUGGUCACUAUUACUGGGCUUAAAGCGUCCGUAGCUUGGUUGUUAAGUCUCUUGGGAAAUCCACCGGCUCAACCGAUGGGCGUCAGGAGAUACUGGCAACCUAGGGACCGGGAGAGGUGAGGGGUACUCCAGGGGUAGGAGUGAAAUCCUGUAAUCCUUGGGGGACCACCUGUGGCGAA
rnacentral:rRNA from 1 species